CCUACGGGCGGCAGCAGUGAGGAAUAUUGGUCAAUGGACGAGAGUCUGAACCAGCCAAGUAGCGUGAAGGAUGACUGCCCUAUGGGUUGUAAACUUCUUUUAUAUGGGAAUAAAACGUUCCACGUGUGGGAUUUUGUAUGUACCAUAUGAAUAAGGAUCGGCUAACUCCGUGCCAGCAGCCGCGGUAAUACGGAGGAUCCGAGCGUUAUCCGGAUUUAUUGGGUUUAAAGGGAGCGUAUGUGGAUUGUUAAGUCAGUUGUGAAAGUUUGCGGCUCAACCGUAAAAUUGCAGUUGAAACUGGCAGUCUUGAGUACAGUAGAGGUGGGCGGAAUUCGUGGUGUAGCGGUGAAAUGCUUAGAUAUCACGAAGAACUCCGAUUGCGAAGGCAGUUCACUGGACUGCAACUGACACUGAGGCUCGAAAGUGUGGGUAUCAAACAGGAUUAGAUACCCCGGUAGUC
rnacentral:rRNA from 1 species